ensembl:lncRNA
CACAAAUGCAUCUCAAUGUUUCAAAGCAACCAGAAACCAGCAAAUCAAGGUAAAUAAAUGUUACGCCGCAGUCCCAGAUUACUCGCAAAAGGGUACUAUAAUCCCGAGGACCCCACGAUUCAACAGAUCUGCUCUAAGGAGACCCCCAUCAGGAUCUUCAAGAAAAGGGAAGGGAACUGCGGAGUGGGUGGGGCCUGUCGCAACUUAAUUAGCGAAUUUAAUGUGUGUGAUUUCCAGAGCCUGGAAAAAAAAGAUCCCAUGCUGACAUCUGAAAUAUCUCCUCAGCAUGCUUCCCCACCCAGCAGAUGUUUUUUAGUUGUGAGGAAGAUGGUUCUUCUUCCCCUCCUCCUCUGCCUGCUGGCGUUUGGUGUUUGGUUUUGCUACACGAGUGUUACUAAACAGCUGUUUCAGUCUGCAGCAUAUUUGGCACAGGACACAUUCAUACAGAAUCAAGCAGCUCUGAUUGAAGAGUUCAAGUUCCUGAAACUGACGAUAAGACAACAGAGUCUAGAACAAAAGGAAGAGUUCCAGAAACUGGCGAUAAGACAACAGAG